rnacentral:rRNA from 1 species
UACGUAGGGUGCAAGCGUUGUCCGGAAUUAUUGGGCGUAAAGAGCUCGUAGGCGGCCUGUCGUGUCGGUUGUGAAAGCCCGGGGCUCAACCCCGGGUCUGCAGUCGAUACGGGCAGGCCAGAGUUCGGUAGGGGAGAUCGGAAUUCCUGGUGUAGCGGUGAAAUGCGCAGAUAUCAGGAGGAACACCGGUGGCGAAGGCGGAUCUCUGGGCCUUACCUGACGCUCAGGUGCGAAAGCUAGGGGAGCGAACAGG